GUAGUUCAGCUCAGUGUGAUCAACACGUUGUUUUGGAUUUUCAUCCCACUUCAGGAAAUGGGGACUACCUGGUAAAGCACUUGGAGAGGAUCUUCCAGUUUUAGAUUUCUCUGGGUCUAUACAAGGGUCAUGACACUCAUAGAUAUAUCUGUGGACGGGGAGCCCUUCAAGGUUGUUGAAAUGAAGAAAUGAGUUUCCUAGAAUGUAAAGAGAACAGAACAAAACACCUCUUUA
rnacentral:lncRNA from 1 species